rnacentral:rRNA from 1 species
GACGAACGCUGGCGGCGUGCCUAAUACAUGCAAGUCGAACGCAGUGGGGACGGGUGAGUAACACGUGGGAAACCUCCCAUCAGAGGGGAUAACACUUGGAAACAGGUGCUAAACCGAUACUGAUGGACGGACCCGCGGGGCAGUAGAUAGUUGGUGAGGUAACGGCUCACCACGGCCACGAUGCCUAGCCGACGUGAGAGGGGGAUCGGCCACACUGUGACUGAGACACGGCCCAGACUCCUACGGGCGGCAGCAGUAGGGAAUCUUCGGCAAUGGACGAAAGUCUGACCGAGCAACGCCGCGUGAGUGAAGAAGGUUUUCGGAUCGUAAAACUCUUUUGUUAGAGAAGCGGUAUCUAACCAGAAAGCCACGGCUAACUACGUGCCAGCAGCCGCGGUAAUAC